UGACGCAGCAACGCCGCGUGGGUGAUGACGGUUUUCGGAUUGUAAAGCCCUGUCUUCGAGGACGAUAAUGACGGUACUCGAGGAGGAAGCCACGGCUAACUACGUGCCAGCAGCCGCGGUAAU
rnacentral:rRNA from 1 species